GUUUCCUGUACCCUCCCCAGGCUCCCGGAAAGGUGUGCGGAAGCCGGCACCCUGGCACACUGUGUCCCGCACGCGGCGGGAUCACAGAGGAAGCCGCGGUCCGACUUAGAGGAGAUGGAGCCCCCCACUCACCCAUGAGAAAACUGAGAACCACGGGGCUCGGGAGAAGGGACACGUUCGCCCUGUCCCCCUCCCCACCCAAAGCUUCCACAUCAGGGCCUCCCUCCGGGGAACCCCUGGCAGGGACUUUUGACGUUUCCUGGUGUCAGAAGUGGGAUUCAAACAGAAGACAGCCCCCCACCCCCACCCCACACACAGACCCCGAGGCUGCUGAGCAAACAGACCCUGGCACCCACAGAGCCCACUGAGCUGACCACUUUCUUGUCGACCCUGAAGAGUGAAGAUGUAAAGGAUCCUUUUUCUCCUCUGUCUGAAGUUACCUAUGACUCACAACAGUUUGGUAAAGUGUAUCUUUGCAACAAAGGUUGAAACAUUUUUCUUCCCCCUCCCCCCAUUCCUCCAGAACUUAGAAACUCUUACUAUUCUCUUUUUAAAUUGUUUUAUUUUCUAAUUAAAUACUCUUAUUUUUCAUGACAAUAUGUGUGUUUGCAUAAGUUUAAAAAUAAUCUGUUCUCCCUAUAACAAGACAAAACUGGCUUGGCUUCCUGGCCUGGAAAGUCUAAUCUGAGUUCCUUUAUGAAACAUUCCAGCAAAGUAGAUUUAAAAACACCUAUCAGGGGGCACCUGGGUGGCUCAGUUGGUUAAGCAUCCAACUUCGGCUCAGCUCAUGAUCUCAUGGUUCACGGGUUUGAGUCCCUCUUCAGGCUCUGCCUGGACAGUUCACAGUCUGGAGCCUGCUUCAGAUUCUGUGUCUCCAUCUCUCUUUGCCCCUCCCCUGUUCUCUCUCUCUCUCUCUCUCUCUCAAAAACAAAUAAACAUUUUUGAAAAGCACCUAUGUGAUCAAUCACUAUUCCUGUGUACUUAUGUAAAUAAUCAUACCGAGUAUUUGGAAACAGUCUUAAUGUGCAAGCAAAUUAGUCUUACUGUGGUUAUCUUUGAUAGAAAUAGGGGAUGAUUACAGAGAGAAGAAUAGGCUUCGAUAAUACAUCUUUGUGGAUAUCAGAUUCUAGUGCUGUUUCUUGUCUCUGAGAUUUUGUUUUCUACCUGGAAUCUGGACUGGAUCCUGAAUUCUUCCAGUUUCCUCCAAAAUUUGGCUAGAAUUUUCCAAACUAAUAUUUCCAAUUCUCCCAUUCUCUGGACUUGGAAUCUUUAUGAAACUAAAAGCAUCCUUUGCCCAACGCUGGACAACUCGAUGUCAACUUCGGAGAGCUCAGCACAACAGCUCGUGUGUGGACGGCGACCCGUGCCCGGGGCCGUGUGACUGCUUGGAAAGAUCCCCAGGCACAUUCAUGCCGCAAGCCAGAGAAAUGGGUCAGAUCACCACUGCCCUGCUCUCACCUCAUCGGAAGAGUCUCCAACCCCGACGUCUGCAAACUCAACUGGCCGCUCUCCAAACUCAGAAGCUGAAUUUGUAAUUUGCUUGAAGUAUUAACCUUUUUCUUUUGUUGCCGUAGAAAUCUCUGUCGUUAAACUACCCGCUCGCUCGUGUCGUAUAGAGACCUGAUUUAGAUGGAGCCCAACUGACGCACUGGCCAACACCCUCAAGUUCACCCUGUCCUAAGCAACUGUUGGGCGAUGCGACUGUUAAGACAUUAUGCACGCUUUUGAAAAAUAACUUUAAAAAAAUAUAACGC